GACGAACGCUGGCGGCGUGCUUAACACAUGCAAGUCGAACGGAAAGGCCCUGCUUUUGUGGGGUGCUCGAGUGGCGAACGGGGGAGUAACACGUGAGUAACCUGCCCUUGACUUUGGGAUAACUUCAGGAAACUGGGGCUAAUACCGGAUAGGAGCUCCUGCUGCAUGGUGGGGGUUGGAAAGUUUCGGCGGUUGGGGAUGGACUCGCGGCUUAUCAGCUUGUUGGUGGGGUAGUGGCUUACAAAGGCUUUGACGGGUAGCCGGCCUGAGAGGGUGACCGGCCACAUUGGGACUGAGAUACGGCCCAGACUCCUACGGGAGGCAGCAGUGGGGAAUAUUGCACAAUGGGCGGAAGCCUGAUGCAGCAACGCCGCGUGCGGGAUGACGGCCUUCGGGUUGUAAACCGCUUUCGCCUGUGACGAAGCGUGCGUGACGGUAAUGGGUAAAGAAGCACCGGCUAACUACGUG
rnacentral:rRNA from 1 species